UGGGGAAUAUUGGACAAUGGGCGAAAGCCUGAUCCAGCCAUGCCGCGUGUGUGAAGAAGGUCUUCGGAUUGUAAAGCACUUUAAGUUGGGAGGAAGGGCAGUAAGCGAAUACCUUGCUGUUUUGACGUUACCGACAGAAUAAGCACCGGCUAACUCUGUGCCAGCAGCCGCGGUAAUACAGAGGGUGCAAGCGUUAAUCGGAAUUACUGGGCGUAAAGCGCGCGUAGGUGGUUCGUUAAGUUGAAUGUGAAAGCCCCGGGCUCAACCUGGGAACGGCAUCCAAAACUGGCGAGCUAGAGUAGGGCAGAGGGUGGGGGAAUUUCCUGUGUAGCGGUGAAAUGCGUAGAUAUAGGAAGGAACACCAGUGGCGAAGGCGACCACCUGGGCUCAUACUGACACUGAGGUGCGAAAGCGUGGGGAGCAAACAGG
rnacentral:rRNA from 1 species